rnacentral:tRNA from 2 species
GCCGUGUGACAGAAUAGGGAUUUAAAAUCCCUCGGCGUUCGCGCUGUGCCGGUUCAAGUCCGGCCCGGGGCACCA